rnacentral:tRNA from 1 species
ACCUGGAUGGCUCAGUCAGUUGAGCACCCGACUUUAGCUCAGGUCAUGAUCUCACAGUUCGUGGGUUCGAGCCCCACUCUGGGCC